UUACUAACUUGAAUGCUUGUUGAGUAUAUCUUUUAGUCUUGAUAUUAGUAUUACAGUUUUAAAGUAGGGAUGACUUCUAGUGAGAAGUGGGCUUGUGGCUGAUGUCUACAUAAUUUUUUCAUAUAUUUUGAUUUUAUGGAAUGUUCGUGUCUAUGUCGUCAGUGGUAUUGCACCCAUAGAAUUUCUUUCUGCUUUACUGUAUACGUGUUUGAUUGAAAUGUCGAUAUUGCUUUAAUCCUGUGUGACAACCUAGAAUACAUUUAUAGGUUGAUAUUGCACCCAUAGACCUUGUUAUUCG
rnacentral:misc_RNA from 1 species